UACGUAGGGUGCGAGCGUUAAUCGGAAUUACUGGGCGUAAAGCGCACGUAGGCGGAUCUUUAAGUCAGGGGUGAAAUCCCGAGGCUCAACCUCGGAACUGCCUUUGAUACUGGGGAUCUCGAGUCCGGGAGAGGUGAGUGGAACUGCGAGUGUAGAGGUGAAAUUCGUAGAUAUUCGCAAGAACACCAGUGGCGAAGGCGGCUCACUGGCCCGGAACUGACGCUGAGGUGCGAAAGCGUGGGGAGCAAACAGG
rnacentral:rRNA from 1 species